rnacentral:rRNA from 1 species
AUGAACGCUGGCGGCGUGCUUAACACAUGCAAGUCGAACGAAGCACUUUAUUUGAUUUCCUUCGGGACUGAUUAUUUUGUGACUGAGUGGCGGACGGGUGAGUAACGCGUGGGUAACCUGCCUUGUACAGGGGGAUAACAGUUGGAAACGGCUGCUAAUACCGCAUAAUCGCACAGCAUCGCAUGAUGCAGUGUGAAAAACUCCGGUGGUAUAAGAUGGACCCGCGUUGGAUUAGCUAGUUGGUGAGGUAACGGCCCACCAAGGCGACGAUCCAUAGCCGACCUGAGAGGGUGACCGGCCACAUUGGGACUGAGACACGGCCCAAACUCCUACGGGAGGCAGCAGUGGGGAAUAUUGCACAAUGGGCGAAAGCCUGAUGCAGCGACGCCGCGUGAGCGAAGAAGUAUUUCGGUAUGUAAAGCUCUAUCAGCAGGGAAGAUAAUGACGGUACCUGACUAAGAAGCACCGGCUAAAUACGUG